UACGAGUGCUCCAAGCGUUAUCCGGAAUCAUUGGGCGUAAAGGGUGUGUAGGCGGUUGUGUUAGUCUUUUGUUAAAUUCUUCGGCUUAACCGGGGGCAUGCGAAAGAAACGGCACAACUAGAGGAUGCGAGAGGUGAAUGGAACUCAUGGAGUAGGGGUGAAAUCCGUUGAUAUCAUGGGGAACACCAAAUGCGAAGGCAAUUCACUGGCGCACUCCUGACGCUGAGACACGAAAGCGUAGGUAGCGAAUGGG
rnacentral:rRNA from 1 species